rnacentral:rRNA from 1 species
GUGGGGAAUAUUGGACAAUGGGCGAAAGCCUGAUCCAGCCAUGCCGCGUGUGUGAAGAAGGUCUUCGGAUUGUAAAGCACUUUAAGUUGGGAGGAAGGGCAGUAAGUUAAUACCUUGCUGUUUUGACGUUACCGACAGAAUAAGCACCGGCUAACUUCGUGCCAGCAGCCGCGGUAAUACGAAGGGUGCAAGCGUUAAUCGGAAUUACUGGGCGUAAAGCGCGCGUAGGAGGUUUUGUAAGUUGGAGGUGAAAUCCCCGGGCUCAACCUGGGAACUGCCUCCAAAACUGCAUGACUAGAGUACGGUAGAGGGUAGUGGAAUUUCCUGUGUAGCGGUGAAAUGCGUAGAUAUAGGAAGGAACACCAGUGGCGAAGGCGACUACCUGGACUGAUACUGACACUGAGGUGCGAAAGCGUGGGGAGCAAACAGGAUUAGAUACCCGGGUAGUCC